AUUUGUGAGCUUUCUAAUGUUCUUUUCAUUGUUUCAAUUGUAAUUUAAUAAUUGACUUCCUUUCGGUUAUUUCUGUAACGACUUGUUCCAGCCGUUAUAGAAAUGCAAACAGGGGAAAAUUGGAGGCGGGAUUUUUCUUUAGUAGUAUUUGGAUUUUCCCAACCUUGUCCAUAUUUUGAAGAAAUCGGAGUCAAUGAAGUGUAGAGAAAUUUGGUAGCAAUUGGGUGAAUCAUUUAUGAUUUUGAUUACUUGAGUAGUUAGAUAACUCGUUAACGAACUAAUACAACUUUACGUAAUUGAAUUUGAGUUUCUAGAUCUCUGGAAAUCGAACUUAGCAUAAAGGGUAUUUUCUGAGAAUCGUGGGUUAGAGGUGUGUUGUAAAAAAAGGAUUUUAGAAUCCUUUAAAAAUCUCUCUGGUUCAGUUUGUGUCGUUGUUGCAGGAUUUUGUCGCUCUAGCAAGGAUGCUACAGCGGGAUUUGGGUGCUGCAGUGGGCGCGAUGGAACUAAAAAUUGAAGAUGAAAGAUGAAGUGGUCACUCGUUCAAAAGUGCCGCUUUGGUGGGAAUCGGAGUCGUAGCGGGAUAAGGGCCUCUGUGGUGUGCCAGAAUGACUCAAUGCCGUUCACAAACCCCUCAACAAACUUUGUUGGCACUUUCCUACUUUAAGAGCUAAGGAACGACCCUAGGCGAUUUAUGCUCAUUUUUCACCAUUCUUGAGGCUAAAGACCAAGAACAAGCGGAACAAAUUUUUAAAGGAAAGGAUCAAGUUUCUUAGAGUUUCAAGCUUGUUUCAAGGUAGGUGAUGGUUGUGAUUGUAUGUCUGUCUAGUGUAUGCAUUUUUUUGAUAAAUUGUGAUACUUGUAUAUGUAUGAAUGUUGCAACAUUGAUCAUACUAAUUAAAAUAGAGAUAGAUGAA